rnacentral:rRNA from 1 species
AACCCUCACCAGAGUAGCAAUUGGAGGGCAAGUCUGGUGCCAGCAGCCGCGGUAAUUCCAGCUCCAAUAGCGUAUAUUAAACUUGUUGCAGUUAAAAAGCUCGUAGUUGAAUUUUAGCGUGUUCGAGUUUGCCAUUCGUUUGGCUUUUUCGAGUUCGCUUUUGGGUUUUCCCUUUUUACUUUGAGAAAAUUAGAGUGUUUCAAGCAGACUUUUGUCUUGAAUACUUCAGCAUGGAAUAAUAGAGUAGGACUUUGGUUCUAUUUUGUUGGUUAUUGAACCUUAGUAAUGGUUAAUAGGAACGGUUGGGGGCAUUCGUAUUUA